rnacentral:rRNA from 1 species
UACAGAGGGGGCAAGCGUUAUUCGGAAUUAUUGGGCGUAAAGGGCGCGUAGGCGGCCUGGCAAGUGACGGGUGAAAGCCCUCGGCUCAACCGAGGAACUGCCUGUCAUACUGCCGGGCUUGAGUCCGGGAGAGGUGAGUGGAAUUCCCAGUGUAGCGGUGAAAUGCGUAGAUAUCUGGAGGAACACCGGUGGCGAAGGCGGCAUCCUGGACCAACACUGACGCUGAGGAGCGAAAGCCAGGGGAGCAAACGGG